rnacentral:rRNA from 1 species
CAGUAGCCACGGUAAUACGUAGGGUGCAAGCGUUAAUCGGAAUUACUGGGCGUAAAGCGUGCGCAGGCGGUUAUAUAAGACAGAUGUGAAAUCCCCGGGCUCAACCUGGGAACUGCAUUUGUGACUGUAUAGCUAGAGUACGGCAGAGGGGGAUGGAAUUCCGCGUGUAGCAGUGAAAUGCGAAGAUAUGCGGAGGAACACCGAUGGCGAAGGCAAUCCCCUGGGCCUGUACUGACGCUCAUGCACGAAAGCGUGGGGAGCAAACAGGAUUAGAUACCCGCGUAGUCCCUGUCUCUUAUAU